AUUUAUCCGACGAUGGAGAAAAGUAAGUUGGCAGGCGGCAAAGAGAAGCGGCGGUCAGUGUAAGCCGUAACGUCUAAAAACUGAAUUCCGCUCCGGAGGAGACAGGGGUAGCAACCUGUCCGGGUCCGACCGAUAUAUCGGCAAUGAGGCCGCGCUGUGCGGCGAAAAAAGGUGGCACCACGUGAGUAGAACUCUCGUCCUUGAU
rnacentral:ncRNA from 1 species